rnacentral:rRNA from 1 species
GACGAGGGGUCCUAGCGUUGUUCGGAAUUACUGGGCGUAAAGCGCAUGUAGGCGGCUUGAUAAGUCGGGUGUGAAAUCCCUGGGCUCAACCCAGGACGUGCACUCGAUACUGCCAAGCUUGAGUAUGGGAGAGGGUAGUAGAAUUCCUGGUGUAGUGGUGAAAAUACGUAGAUAUCAGGAGGAAUACCGGUGGCGAAGGCGGCUGCCUGGCCCAAUACUGACGUUGAGAUGCGAAAGCGUGGGGAGCAAACAGG